rnacentral:rRNA from 1 species
GACGAACGCUGGCGGCGUGCUUAACACAUGCAAGUCGAACGGAAAGGCCCUGCUUGCAGGGUACUCGAGUGGCGAACGGGUGAGUAACACGUGGGUGAUCUGCCCUGCACUUCGGGAUAAGCCUGGGAAACUGGGUCUAAUACCGGAUAGGAGCCAUUUUUAGUGUGAUGGUUGGAAAGUUUUUUCGGUGUAGGAUGAGCUCGCGGCCUAUCAGCUUGUUGGUGGGGUAAUGGCCUACCAAGGCGGCGACGGGUAGCCGGCCUGAGAGGGUGGACGGCCACAUUGGGACUGAGAUACGGCCCAGACUCCUACGGGAGGCAGCAGUGGGGAAUAUUGCACAAUGGGUGCAAGCCUGAUGCAGCGACGCCGCGUGGGGGAUGACGGCCUUCGGGUUGUAAACUCCUUUCGCUAGGGACGAAGCUUUUUGUGACGGUACCUAGAUAAGAAGCACCGGCUAACUACGUG